rnacentral:rRNA from 1 species
UACGUAGGGUCCGAGCGUUGUCCGGAAUUAUUGGGCGUAAAGGGCUCGUAGGCGGUCUGUCGCGUCGGGAGUGAAAACUUACAGCUUAACUGUGAGCGUGCUUCCGAUACGGGCAGACUUGAGGUAUUCAGGGGAGAACGGAAUUCCUGGUGUAGCGGUGAAAUGCGCAGAUAUCAGGAGGAACACCGGUGGCGAAGGCGGGUCUCUGGGCCGAUACUGACGCUGAGGAGCGAAAGCAUGGGGAGCGAACAGG